GUACACUCCUACGGGAGGCAGCAGUGGGGAAUUUUGGACAAUGGGCGAAAGCCUGAUCCAGCCAUGCCGCGUGCAGGAUGAAGGCCUUCGGGUUGUAAACUGCUUUUGUACGGAACGAAACGGCCUUUUCUAAUAAAGAGGGCUAAUGACGGUACCGUAAGAAUAAGCACCGGCUAACUACGUGCCAGCAGCCGCGGUAAUACGUAGGGUGCAAGCGUUAAUCGGAAUUACUGGGCGUAAAGCGUGCGCAGGCGGUUAUGUAAGACAGUUGUGAAAUCCCCGGGCUCAACCUGGGAACUGCAUCUGUGACUGCAUAGCUAGAGUACGGUAGAGGGGGAUGGAAUUCCGCGUGUAGCAGUGAAAUGCGUAGAUAUGCGGAGGAACACCGAUGGCGAAGGCAAUCCCCUGGACCUGUACUGACGCUCAUGCACGAAAGCGUGGGGAGCAAACAGGAUUAGAUACCCCGGUAGUCCCAUGA
rnacentral:rRNA from 1 species